CGGGUGAGUAAUGUAUGGGGAUCUGCCUGAUGGCGGGGGAUAACUACUGGAAACGGUAGCUAAUACCGCAUAAUGUCUGCGGACCAAAGAGGGGGACCUUCGGGCCUCUUGCCAUCGGAUGUGCCCAGAUGGGAUUAGCUAGUAGGUGGGGUAACGGCUCACCUAGGCGACGAUCCCUAGCUGGUCUGAGAGGAUGACCAGCCACACUGGAACUGAGACACGGUCCAG
rnacentral:rRNA from 1 species